AGUUAACGCUGGCAUCGUGCAUAACACAUGCAAGUCGAACGGGACUUAGUUUGUAGCUUGCUAUAGAUUAAGUUUAGUGGCAGACGGGUGAGUAAUGUAUAAGAAACCUACCUCUGAGUGGGGAAUAACAGUCCGAAAGGAUUGCUAAUACCCCAUAACAUAACCUAGUGGCAUCACUUAGUUAUCAAAGAUUUAUCGCUUGGAGAUGGUCUUAUAUUCUAUCAGCUUGUUGGCAGUGUAACGGACUACCAAGGCGACGACGGAUAGCCGGCCUGAAAGGGCGACCGGCCACAAGGGCACUGAGACGACGGCCCUACUCC
rnacentral:rRNA from 1 species